GGACGAACGCUGGCGGCGUGCCUAAUACAUGCAAGUCGAACGCGUUUCCGUUAUUGAUUUUAGAUGCUUGCAUUUAAAUGAUUUAACACGAAACGAGUGGCGAACUGGUGAGUAACACGUGGGUAACCUGCCCUUGAAGUAGGGGAUAACACUUGGAAACAGGUGCUAAUACCGUAUAACAACCAAAACCACAUGGUUUUGGUUUAAAAGAUGGCUUCGGCUAUCACUUUAGGAUGGACCCGCGGCGUAUUAGCUUGUUGGUAAGGUAAUGGCCUACCAAGGCAAUGAUACGUAGCCGACCUGAGAGGGUAAUCGGCCACAUUGGGACUGAGACACGGCCCAAACUCCUACGGGAGGCAGCAGUAGGGAAUCUUCCACAAUGGACGAAAGUCUGAUGGAGCAACGCCGCGUGAGUGAUGAAGGGUUUCGGCUCGUAAAACUCUGUUGUUGGAGAAGAACAGGUGUCAGAGUAACUGUUGACAUCUUGACGGUAUCCAACCAGAAAGCCACGGCUAACUACGUGCCAGCAGCCGCGGUAAUACGUAGGUGGCAAGCGUUGUCCGGAUUUAUUGGGCGUAAAGCGAGCGCAGGCGGUUUCUUAGGUCUGAUGUGAAAGCCUUCGGCUUAACCGGAGAAGUGCAUCGGAAACCAGGAGACUUGAGUGCAGAAGAGGACAGUGGAACUCCAUGUGUAGCGGUGAAAUGCGUAGAUAUAUGGAAGAACACCAGUGGCGAAGGCGGCUGUCUGGUCUGUAACUGACGCUGAGGCUCGAAAGCAUGGGUAGCGAACA
rnacentral:rRNA from 2 species